UCCCUGGUGGCCCAGUGGUUAGGGCUCCGUGCUGUCACUCCUGAGGGCCCGGGUUCAAUCCCUGGUCAGGGAA